rnacentral:lncRNA from 1 species
AAAAGAAAUUACAUUAUCUUGUCAUUGCUUCUUGGACGAUUCUUCUUCAGAAUUUGCCCCCCAGUCUCUCAGUCGUCUGAAAAUUAUAUUGAUGACUCCCAUCGUUGGUCGAUUAUUAUUUGCUUCCUCAGAUUGAAGCUGAGGUUGUUGGUUGGCAAAAAGUUGAGUCAGACGAUCGCAUCGAUACUUCUCAAGAUAGCCCC